AUAUCUCUAUUUAUCCAGUGUGCGGAACGUAAGGUAAACAUGAAAAAUGGCCGAUGAUUCAAGUUCAUUAUUCCCGCUUCACUCGUGUGUUUAUCGUAACGAUAUUCGUCAAUUGUCUUCUCUUUUACGAACUACAGAUAUUAACCAAAAGGAUAAACAUGGGAACACAGUUCUUCAUUUGGCAGUUAUGUUGGGUCAUAAAGAAUGCAUACACUUGCUGCUAGCCCACAAUGCUCAGGUUAAAAUUAAGAAUGGACUUGGCUGGAAUCCACUUGCUGAAGCUAUCAGCUACGGUGAUCGACAAACAAUUCUGUUGUUAUUGAGAAAACUUAAGCAACAAAGUAAAGAACAGUUGGAAGAAAGGAGACCAAAACUGAUCCAGGCAUUAAAGCAAAUGGGUGACUUUUACUUACAACUCAAAUGGGAUUUUCAAAGCUGGGUACCAUUGGUAUCACGCAUACUGCCGUCUGAUAUUUGUCGCAUCCAUAAGAAAGGUUCAAAAAUACGGGUUGAUACAACUUUAGUUGAUUUUACUGACAUGCAUUGGGAGCGUGGGGACAUAAGUAUUGUAUUUAAUGGAGAAGCCGAACGACAACAGUCACUUUUUAUACUAGAUAACAAACAGAAAGUUUAUCAACAAAUUCGGUAUCAGGAAUCGGAGAGUGAGAUAGAGGACGAAGUCGAUAUCCUUAUGAGUAAUGAUAUAGUAGCUGUUCAAAUGUCGACACGUUUCAUUACGUUCAACCGCGCUCAAACUGGUUUCUUUUUUCGUGCUGACAAAACGGAAAUGGUGGGUCCAUAUCAGGCUGAAUUCUUUUCUAUUGGAGGUUUGGUUUUUGAAUCCCGCAAGAGGAGAGAACACCUUACUCAAGAAGACCUUCGCAAAAAUAAGGCGUUGAUGGAGACCCUGACGAAAGGUUCUAGUUCGAGUCUGACGGAGACCAGCAACGGCGAACCCAUACGCAGAGGGUCUUUACCUGCGCCAAUUAAAACGAUCCUCAGCUGGAAUGAUUACAUCAAUUGUAGUCACCCACCAAAUUUGGGUAGACAACUCAUAUGCAAAGAUGUGUCUAAAACAUUCCGCGCUACUGUUGCUAUGUGCCAAGAUUUUCCGUUAUCCAAAGCGAUGCUGUUAGAUGUGUUGGAAGUUGUAGCGCCUGUCAAACAUUUUAGCAAGCUCCGUGAAUUCGUUGAAAUGAAACUACCGCCCGGUUUUCCCGUAAAAGUUGACAUUCCAAUUUUACCGACCAUAACAACAAGAGUUAAUUUUCAAGACUUUGAAUUCCGCAACAAUAUGGAUAAUAUGUUGUUUCAAAUCCCCAAGGAUUAUACCGAGAACCCCGGAAGAUUCCCUGAUUUGUGACCAAUGGAAUGGAGCUUGCUGCUCAACUCAGAGCUUAGGGAAGUUGAGCCUUGCUGCUCCUAUCUUUACCCCGUUUCUUCAUCUAGUCAUAGUCAGUAUUCACAUCGUGGUGUACAAGAAAGCGCACCACCAUAUCCAUUGUAAAAAAGAGCAGAUAUGUUCGAGAUUUGCAGAUGUCGCGUGUACGAAGAACAAAACAAUACAGUUGUCGCGUGUCAAUGCCGCGACGGAUUGGUUGGCUAAUAGCCAUGAAUGUAAAA
rnacentral:misc_RNA from 1 species